UAAAACUUUUUUUAUACAGAAAUUUCACAGAUGUGCAAGAAAUACAAGAGGCUUGACAUUUCACUAACUCAUCGUCUGUCUAUAUGCUUGCUUUGUGAAACUGGGCGGUUUUAAUGUGACCCAGGAUCAUGACAAGGAAGAAAGAAACAUAUUGAAGUCCUCUACUUUCAACCCAAAGCCACACAAGGAAAGGACAGAGUAAAGUAGUCAGUGAGCUCAACCAUUAGGUCUGCUACAGAUUUCUUACUCAGUUUUCAUUUGUAUCAGGGAAUAAGAAAAUGGAAAGAAUAAUCUUUCUUAUCGGCUUCUUUUCAUCCGGCAUAUCAGCAUCAACAGAUCCACCUGCAAAUAUCAGCGUGAAAUGCCUUCAAAAGUUCGUACCUGAGGGAGGAAGGCUGGCUUGUGAAUGUAGAACUGAUAAUAACACAGUUUGGAGCAGUUUCUUGUCUUGGCCUGGAUACUCCAACACCAGAAUGUUGAAUGUCCUGAAUGUCACUCGUGCCGAUAACGGUACAGUCUUCACCUGUCUCUUGACCUGGAGAGGACACAAGUGGACAACAAACUACACACUUCACGUAGCCUAUGGCCCAGAUGAUAAACACACAAGAAUAGAGGGGCCUGUGUCGUUCAUUACUGAUGGAACAAAGAUUCUUCAAUUAAAGUGUGUUGCGACAGAAGUAUAUCCUCCUCCACUUUUUGUCUGGGAGGGUGUCACGUGUCUAAAUGACAAAGAACCAAUUUUUGUGACAUAAAACCUCAGCCGCCGUGGGAUGAUGGCCGAAAUGUCUACUGUUUAGCAAUAACAGACGAUAACAACUUCACUGGAAACACAACAUACAAACUGAAUCUCAACUAUCCACCCUGGAAACAAGCCCCAGAUACUCGGUUACACUUCUGGACAAGUUUUAAGAAAUGGAGACGAACUUCACUGUCGUGUGUCCGGAGGAAAGCCACUGGUGAAGGAAGUAAAUUUCUCAUGUUCUUCUGAAAUUCC